ACUUAUCCCAAGCCAAAUUCAGACCCACGGUCUGGAACGGGGGACCCAUCCGAAUGGGGUGAAUCGCGAUUACGCGUAGAGCGACUCUGGCUCGAACCCGUCAGCUAACCUCGUCGGCUUAAGAAGAGAGGACCU
rnacentral:sRNA from 1 species